CAGACUUCAGGGGCUGCGUGGCGGUGGUGAAUGACGCCCCCUGCCACCUGCUACCCUUCUCAGCACCCCAAUCCCGCUCGCGCGCGACGUCCGCCUGGGAUUCCGAUACCUGGACGGGCAGUGAGGUUGGGGGUGACCUGCCGAACCCCCUCAGCCCAUCGAGACAGAGGUCCUCGGGGUUGAGGGAGGCUGCCAACGGCAGGCAAGUCCGGGCGGCGCCCCCCCGAGGACCGGGCGCGCUGGGCGAGGCGGCUCCUUCGCACGCUGGGCUGAGCCCGGAGCUCCGCGGCUGGGGACUAGCGACGCCGCCGAGGUCCGCCUUGGGGGGGUUGGGCAGCGUCGUCCCUGCGACCGUGCUCUCGGGACUUGGGAGAGGAAGGAGAAAGGACAAGAGCCCGAGGGAAGGAACCGUCGGUGUUUCAUGUCUGUUCUUUAAAAGAGGCAACCAGUUCUCGGCCAGACUGGGGUUAGCCGAGGCAACCGGUGCAGUGCUGCCUAGAAGCGCACAGGUCAAAGCCACGGCCGAGCCGUGUCGGGGUGCCCUGAGGCACCGCCACUUUCACACCGGGACAUAAAAUAACCACCAGCGUGGGGAGGUAUGCCCACCUUGCUUCUCUGUUGGCCAGAAGCAAAUGCAAAACAUAACGGGACAACGCUUACAACCGCAGCUCUUUCAUUAGACAAAAGCCAAUUUUACCUUCCCGCAACCAUCCGAGCCUUUGGAACUUUUAUUUGCGGCAUUGUGGCGCCCUCUGGCUGUGCUCGGAUUGCUUUCACGUUUGCCCACCUCCCGGUAGAGCGAAGGAUAGAGCUGGGAGUUGUCCUCGAAGGUGGAUCUGCCCUCCUGACCCGUGCCUGGAUUUGGGGGUUGGGUUGUCCUCCAAAAUCGAGGCGACAAAAUGCAACCGUAUCUUCAAAGGGAGGACGCCAAAGGCAAGUGCAUCUGCAUUCGACUGGGGAAAGCAAUGUAGGCGGAAUUCACCCUCAACGGUUAUUCAGCGCAUGUUAG
rnacentral:lncRNA from 1 species